rnacentral:pre_miRNA from 1 species
AGUGAGAUAGCUGGGUCAAAUGGUGGUUCCAUUUCCAGUUUUCUGAGGAAUCGCCAUACUGCUUUCCAUAAUGGUUGCACCAGUUUGCAGUCCCACCAGCAAU